rnacentral:snRNA from 1 species
GUGCUCUCUUCGGCAGCACAUAUUGGAACGAUACAGAGAAGAUUAGCAUGGCCCCUGCGCAAGGAUGACACGCAAAUUUGUGAAGUGUUCCAUAUUUAA